UACGUAGGGCGCAAGCGUUGUCCGGAAUUAUUGGGCGUAAAGAGCUCGUAGGCGGCUUGUCACGUCGGGUGUGAAAGCCCGGGGCUUAACUCCGGGUCUGCAUCCGAUACGGGCAGGCUAGAGUGUGGUAGGGGAGAUCGGAAUUCCUGGUGUAGCGGUGAAAUGCGCAGAUAUCAGGAGGAACACCGGUGGCGAAGGCGGAUCUCUGGGCCAUUACUGACGCUGAGGAGCGAAAGCGUGGGGAGCGAACAGG
rnacentral:rRNA from 1 species